rnacentral:miRNA from 1 species
AUUUUGUUGGUUUUCG